UACGAAGGGUGCAAGCGUUACUCGGAAUUACUGGGCGUAAAGCGUGCGUAGGUGGUUUGUUAAGUCUGAUGUGAAAGCCCUGGGCUCAACCUGGGAAUUGCAUUGGAUACUGGCAGGCUAGAGUGCGGUAGAGGGUAGUGGAAUUCCCGGUGUAGCAGUGAAAUGCGUAGAGAUCGGGAGGAACACCAGUGGCGAAGGCGGCUCGCUGGGCCGGACCUGACGCUGAGGUGCGAAAGCGUGGGGAGCAAACAGG
rnacentral:rRNA from 1 species